GCGGAUUCUUGACCACUGCACCACCAGGGAAGUGCAGGGGACCAACUUUGAAGACCCAUGGAUCUAGUGGAACCAGUUUACCUGUGUCUCCCUGGACUGACACCCCUAGACCGACCCAGGCAGGGGAGCGGCGGGCGGGUGAUGAGGACCGGGCUGGCGGAGAAAACACAGCGCCCCACUGGACGAGGAGACAAGCCUGGGACCGAGUCCUGCUGCCACAUGCCACCCCUGGACAGAGGCCCCGCCCCCAGCUGUUCCUUAGCCCUGGAGCAAAGAGCGUCCACAGGCCCAGCAGACCCAGAUCCACAGUCAAGGCCUGACGGGGAGGAUCCUCACAUGGUCUGCCGAGGGGCAGCCUGGGGACACCGGUUGUCUGGCCCUGCCGCCAGCCCAUCUAUGAGCAGGAAGGAAGCCUCUGGAAACUGACCAAGCCGUCUGGAUCCUCCACCCCAGGCCGCCCCAGCCCUGCGCUCUGCCCCCAGGGAGGGAGAGAAGCCUCCGGCAUAAGGAGACCAGGUGGAGAGCCCCGCAGUGGGAGAGGUGCCCCAGGCACCAGCCAGAAAUGCACUGGGAGGGGCCCUUGCCAGGGGAGAUGGACAGCACGCACACGCACACGCACACACACACAGAAAGAUCCAACCGUUUACAAAACGUGUGACAAGUCAGUUCAAAUUGCUCAUCUGAAGGGCCAGCAAAGGCUCUUCCGCACACGGGAGGGGUGAGACUAAAGGAAAACCUGGCACUGGCCUUGCCCAGACCAUCUGGGGAAAGGGACCCUGCCAGACACACACUGGCAGAGCCCCCCGCAAGGCUGUCCCCUGCAGUGAAGGGCCUCGGUGCUCUAGUGUCCUCGUCCCUGUCCCUUCACCAGCAGCUGACCAGGGGUCCGACCUGCAUGCGCCCAGCCCCGCCCCCCAGGUUGCCUUGUACAGAAAGCCAGGGAGAGCCUGGCAGCUCGUCAGUACCAAGAGAUGGGGAGGGGAGAGGCGGUGGGAGCUGGAAGAACCCUGGGAGACCUGGACAAGCUGCCCCCAAGGCCUCACCGAGACAGGCCAAGCUCUGAGCUCUUUGAUGCAGACCGCAGGAUGUCUGCAGCCGCUUCAGUGCCAAUUACUGGAGAAAUAAUUCAGCGUGCUCACCCCCUGCCUCUCAGCAGACACUCUUUGGGGACAUUUUAAAUCUGACUGUACCUGCUGAGCAGCUGACAAGUGAAGCCUCUCCCUCCCAACUGCUGGCUUCUCCACCUCUCUGCCCAGGCUCUUUAAUGGGGAAAAGGGAACCUAAAGCUGGGUUUGUCAUCCCUGCCCCCUGCCCGAGGCAGAGCCUGCUCGGAUCAGCACCCUGCAUGCCUGCCGCCUGGGCGCUGCCUCUAGAUGAGUUGCAGCUGAGCUGGGUUCCCUAGAGUCUGUCCCCCCACCCCUACCUCCACCCCCAUCUCCUUAAAGGCAGGGUCAUGUCUUAUGCAUCUUUGAGUCCCUGGUUAGCUGUCAAGAAAUAUUGCUGGGUGGAGAGAUGGGUAAACGGGGAGGGAGGUGGAUAAGUGGGCGGACAGGGUGGAGGGAGGGA
rnacentral:lncRNA from 1 species